GACGAACGCUGGCGGCGUGCUUAACACAUGCAAGUCGAACGAUGAAGCCGGAGCUUGCUCUGGUGAAUUAGUGGCGAACGGGUGAGUAACACGUGAGUAACCUGCCCUUGACUCUGGGAUAACUGCGGGAAACUGUAGCUAAUACCGGAUACGACCCUCGGAGGCAUCUCCUGGGGGUGGAAAGAAUUUCGGUCAAGGAUGGACUCGCGGCCUAUCAGCUAGUUGGUGAGGUAAAGGCUCACCAAGGCGACGCCGGGUAGCCGGCCUGAGAGGGUGACCGGCCACACUGGGACUGAGACACGGCCCAGACUCCUACGGGAGGCAGCAGUGGGGAAGAUUGCACAAUGGGCGCAAGCCUGAUGCAGCAACGCCGCGUGAGGGAUGACGGCCUUCGGGUUGUAAACCUCAUUUAGCAGGGAAGAAGCGAAAGUGACGGUACCUGCAGAAAAAGCACCGGCUAACUACGUGCCAGCCGCCGCCGUAA
rnacentral:rRNA from 1 species